rnacentral:rRNA from 1 species
GACAGAGGCCCCAAGCGUUAGGCGGAAUCACUGGGCUUAAAGCGCGUGUAGGCGGAUCGUUAAGUGCCUUGUGAAAUCCUGCGACUCAACCGCAGAACUGCUGGGCAUACUGGCGAUCUUGGGCCACUCAGGGGUCACUGGAACAAGCGGUGGAGCGGUGAAAUGCGUAGAUAUCGCUUGGAACGCCAAAGGUGAAGACAGGUGACUGGGGGUGUGCCGACGCUGAGACGCGAAAGCCAGGGGAGCAAACGGG